UACAGAGGGGGCAAGCGUUGUUCGGAAUUAUUGGGCGUAAAGGGCGUGUAGGCGGUUUGCUAAGUCAUGUGUGAAAUCCCCCGGCUUAACCGAGGAACGACGCAUGAUACUGGCAAGCUAGAGUACCAAAGAGGGGGGUGGAAUUCCCGGUGUGGCGGUGAAAUGCGUAGAUAUCGGGAGGAACACCGGUGGCGAAGGCGGCCCCCUGGUUGGAUACUGACGCUGAGACGCGAAAGCGUGGGGAGCAAACAGG
rnacentral:rRNA from 1 species